rnacentral:rRNA from 1 species
UACGUAGGCAGCAAGCGUUGUUCGGAGUUACUGGGCGUAAAGGGUGCGUAGGCGGUUGUUUAAGUUUGGUGUGAAAUCUCCCGGCUCAACUGGGAGGGUGCGCCGAAUACUGAGGGACUUCGAGUGCGGGAGAGGAAAGUGGAAUUCCUGGUGUAGCGGUGAAAUGCGCAGAUAUCGGGAAGAACACCCGUGGCGAAGGCGGCUCUCUGGGACGGUACUGACGCUGAGACGCGAAAGCGUGGGGAGCGAACAGG